UCUUAUCUUACAGACGACAAAGAUUUGUUUACAUCAAUGUUUCAAAUUGGAAGGUGAGAAAAUUAAAAACUCUCAGAUGCUGAUGCCUGAUGGGCUUAUAUUAGCCUAUUCCGACAUCCUUGAUGGCGUCAUUGGAGCAACACCUCUCUUCCUGUUAUUCCGAAGGAUUUCGUACCUUUUCACCGCGAGUCAACAAGAAUCAAACCCAGCACCCAGGCGUUAAAGGUAUUGACAGUGAUGCCUCACGAUGGGCAGGCCUCGAUUGCAGUAUUCAAGUGGCAGUGGUUAAUUUAGCUAAUACUAAGUCAGGAAGUCAGCAACCAAGUUUAAUGGGUAGAACGCGACUAGACAGAGAAAAAGAAGAAAGAAAGUACGAAGUUAAAAGAAGAAAGUUAAAAAGAGCAUGUGAAACGCAAGAGACGCCGUUGGGAUGUCAGUUCGAGCAGCCGAGAUGAAUGACAUGUAAAUCUCUAAGAAAUUUUUUUGGAAUACAGAAAAUGCAAGGAUUUGAAUACAUUUCAAUUUUUCAGCACAGUUUCCUAGGUGUUUCCAACAAGAAGCGCAAUAGAAAGCUGGGCAGUCUGGGCUUCGAUUGCAGAUUUUAUAUUCUUCUUCUUUUGAAAAGAUCUUCAAAACUCCGUUGGUAGAUCCUUGACAGCCGCACAAAAGGCAACAACGGUGGAAACAACCCAACCAAUUAAGUGUCUUGACCAAUCUGCUGCCAUUGCUGAUUGUUUCGGCGACGUUUCUGUUUUCAUCCAACCUUCCGGGAAUAUGGUGCUGCAUGCUGGCUUUCAGGGCUUGCCUUCGACGAAGCAUCUCGCUAUAAAGGUAAGUGACUCUUUCUUUUUGACGCUCCGGGUAAAAAUAUGCGGCAAUGGCGUGACGUGAGCGAAGACAGUAUGGUUGCAAGAAGGUAGCCAAGCCGAGAGCAAUCAUAACGAUUGCUGGGCGAAUCAAAUGUUCUAGUGAGAGUUGAAGUGGAUUAGGAAGACAGGGCAUUGUGUCGAUCUGAUUCAUCUCUCUCGAUUGGUAGUCGAAUUCUUUGAACAGGAAUCUAAAAAUGCUCGAAAUAAACCCUCGACCUUCCACUUUGAAUUUUUGCUCAGAAUCCACUCCAACUUGAAGAGUCGUCCGUCCAUUCCGUCGGAGAAUAUCUGUCACUUGAUAAAGAACCCAAUCGACUAAAAUUAGAAUGGUGGUUAAGAUUAUAACAAUGCAGUAGACUAGUAGACUUUUCAAAAGUGAUUUCUUUUCACAAGUAGACAGUGCUAGAGAUAGACAGUCAAUCACUUCCUUUUUUUCUGCCGACCCUUGAAGUGGGAAUAACGAGGGAUCAUUUGAUUGGCGUGAGGAGUCGUAAGUCUUAAUAUCUUUAUUGAUGUAAAUGUUGUCAAAGAUUAGACUGUGCUGGAAACGGAAGUGGUACAGCCAGGAUGUGAUGACAACCACCACCAGGGUGAUUAAGCUAAAGUAAGUUAACAGCGUCUCUAUAGUCCACAAAAGUCGAUCUAAAAAGUAUCCGAUUUCAGACUUCACGUUCCGUUUAACUUCAUCAAAACUGCUUGUGUGGUUCAGCGUGGACUCUAGUUGACGAGUAUAAGAUGCACCAAUUUUUAAUUCGCCUAUUAAUGGCCGGAUGAUUUGCGGAAUGCCUGACAAAGGAGACAGGGUCCUAUUUCCUACCUAUUUUACAAAGUUCGAUUAGUAAUGCAUAAGUUUGUAUGUCUGUGGUUUUCCAAUUUACCUUUUUUAUUACACCGCAUAUUUCCGCUGUAAACUUGCACAAAUCAGAGGAAAACAAAUUACAAACGUCCGUCAAUUUGACCUUGUCGACAUGAUCCGCAACAUCCAACCCGAUUUUCUUAACUUCGUUGAUUACAUUUUCACCAACGUUGGUAAUAAUAUCGGGUAACCAGCUUCGUUUCUUCCUUCGAAAAAACCCUCGACCUUUGAUCAAAUUAAUGCAUUCCUUCUUCAGGCUGUCCAUUUUCGUCUGGCAAUUACCAUUUACCGAUGUCAUUGUCUCCCGGCAUCGAUUCAUUUGAAGAUUGAGGUCGUUGAGAGUCGAAUCGAAUGAAUCUGAAGUCUUCUUUAGGAAAUCAUCAAAGGAAUCAAUUGAGUGCUGGACUGAUUCGACCAAAUUUACAUAAUUGGCCAAGCUAUCUCCUACUUGUGUGCUCAUAUCUCUCAUCGAUUCUGUGUAGCGUUCCGAUGCCAAUCUUGUUUGAUUAAAGGCUGCUUCUCCGAAACAAAUCAGUGACUGAGUCGUCUGUUUAAAGUUGUAAUUCAAAUUAGCGGCCGGUCCGGCUAAGAGCAUGCUUGCCAACAAGGCCAAUAGAGAAGAUUUCCCUAAUCGCGUUCCUAACGAAGGAAUGAGCAGGGAUACAAUGCAGCGAGCUGAUUGAGAAAAUGCCAAUAGGAUUGAAAUUCCAAUAGCAACAACUCCACCAGUGAUUCCGGCCACCCUGUCUUCGAUGUUGUGGCGAUAGUGCAGUAAGAAAAAGAAAACUGUUCCAACCAACAAAGAUUUGGUGUGAGAUGCGGAAGGCGUCCAACUUAUAUACUGCUGACCUUGCCUUACUUCCAAUGCUGCGUCAUCGUUUGGUAGAAUCGGAACUUCCGCUUGAGCUUCCGUUUGCGACGUCAUGGGAAUUUUUUCUGCAGCAGAAAUCUCUUUUAUUGAUGCUUUUUUGCAGGACACUAAUGCGCUUCAAUCUGUCACUCUAAUCCAAUCGUUUGAAACUGCAUGGGUGACUAAACAUUUCUGAAUAGACUUUCGUUAUCUUCAACGUUUCCUUCUGCUUGGUGGUUUGUUUUGGUGUCGGUUUUAUUUCUCAACUUAUUAUAAGAUAACAAAAGAAAAAUCAGAGAUAUACAGUAAUUAUUUCAGAUAUUAAUAUUUAUUAAAAAGAUUUUGCUGCGAGUCAACCUUUCUUAGGGAAUUCUUAAUGAAAUUUUUAAGUGCUAGAAAAUUUUCUGGAAAAGGCGAGAAAACGCCCUUGAUUCGAAAUAAGCUCAAUUAAUGUUUUGUUUUGCUUGAGCGCCAGCUAGUGUUUUUUAAAAUUACAUUAUACAACCAGCUGCCUGUUAUUCAUAUGGAAAAACUCAACAGGAAGCGGAAGAAUUGCGCAAAUAUUUAAAACACGGUCUUUUAUGGGACUUGCCGUUUUAAGACUGAAGAAUGUGUUUUUUAAUGCUAACUUGAUAGUUUUUUUCUGUUUUACGUGUGUUGGUGGAAAAAAGUGACAAACUUAAUUUACAGUAAAUUUUCACGUUUCAAAGGAGAAUCCGUUACAAAGAACCGCUGUUCCAAUACAUCUGUCAUCAUGAGAACCUAAUCCAGAAAACAUUUAUUUGCGAAAAAUCGAUCAUGAUCUUGUUUGUAAUAGUUGCAAUGCAACCGUUGCAAUAUAUUUUUUAAUUCGCAUAAUCUCUGGCUUUAGAAUGGAGUCCAAUCGGAAAAUUGCGGAAUAUAGUCGACAUCGUAUGCAGGGCAGUGAUUCAUCAUUGAGUUCGACGCUAUAGCUAAUCAUCAGAGCGGAUGAACAGUCGGAUUAUGGAGAAUACACCUACAGAAAAAGACAUGUUGCUAUGGCUGCACGAGCAGAGGUUUCUGUUUCUCCCACAGAGGUUUAAUUACAUUCAACCCAGAAAAUCGUUAUUCUCGAGACGAAAGCCAAAGAAUUUAUUCAAUCGCUCUUCAUUGAUUUGGUGUUAAUUACAUAGCUUGACGAACACAAAUUGCGAGAAGACUCGAGCUACAGCAGUGAUUGACAUUUUAAUUACGAGGAAUUGGCAGUCUAUAUCUUUCGCUUAGUUAGAUCGCGAUGUUGAUUGCAUUUAAAAUAGAACUGUAAUCAAUGAACUGAACGAUUGGUGAGUUAUCAGCUGGGUUUUAAAGGGUAUAAAAACGAUCAGGUUACACUGUCUUUUCGGCAUACGCAGAUCUCACAAGGACCCGUUAGUAUGUUUGCUAAAGU